rnacentral:rRNA from 1 species
AGUGAACGCUGGCGGUAGGCCUAACACAUGCAAGUCGAACGGCAGCACAGUAAGAGCUUGCUCUUACGGGUGGCGAGUGGCGGACGGGUGAGGAAUACAUCGGAAUCUACUUUUUCGUGGGGGAUAACGUAGGGAAACUGACGCUAAUACCGCAUACGACCUACGGGUGAAAGCAGGGGAUCUUCGGACCUUGCGCGAUUGAAUGAGCCGAUGUCGGAUUAGCUAGUUGGCGGGGUAAAGGCCCACCAAGGCGACGAUCCGUAGCUGGUCUGAGAGGAUGAUCAGCCACACUGGAACUGAGACACGGUCCAGACUCCUACGGGAGGCAGCAGUGGGGAAUAUUUGACAAUGGGCGCAAGCCUGAUCCAGCCAUACCGCGUGGGUGAAGAAGGCCUUCGGGUUGUAAAGCCCUUUUGUUGGGAAAGAAAAGCAGCAGGUUAAUACCCCGCUGUUCUGACGGUACCCAAAGAAUAAGCACCGGCUAACUUCGUG